rnacentral:rRNA from 1 species
UACGGGGGGGGCAAGCGUUGUUCGGAAUUAUUGGGCGUAAAGGGCUUGUAGGUGGCCAACUAAGUCAGACGUGAAAUCCCUCGGCUUAACCGGGGAACUGCGUCUGAUACUGGAUGGCUGGAGUGUGGGAGAGGGAUGCGGAAUUCCAGGUGUAGCGGUGAAAUGCGUAGAGAUGUGGAGGAAUACCGAUGGCGAAGGCAGCCUCCUGGGAUAACACUGACGCUCAUGCACGAAAGCGUGGGGAGCAAACAGG